rnacentral:rRNA from 1 species
GACGAACGCUGGCGGCGUGCUUAACACAUGCAAGUCGAACGGAAAGGCCUCUUCGGAGGUACUUGAGUGGCGAACGGGUGAGUAACACGUGGGUAAUCUGCCCUGCACUUCGGGAUAAGCCUGGGAAACUGGGUCUAAUACCGGAUAGGACCUUUUGGCGCAUGCCUUUUGGUGGAAAGCUUUUGCGGUGUGGGAUGGGCCCGCGGCCUAUCAGCUUGUUGGUGGGGUGACGGCCUACCAAGGCGACGACGGGUAGCCGGCCUGAGAGGGUGUCCGGCCACACUGGGACUGAGAUACGGCCCAGACUCCUACGGGAGGCAGCAGUGGGGAAUAUUGCACAAUGGGCGCAAGCCUGAUGCAGCGACGCCGCGUGGGGGAUGACGGCCUUCGGGUUGUAAACCUCUUUCAGCAGGGACGAAGCGCAAGUGACGGUACGUGCAGAAGAAGCACCGGCCAACUACG